AAACUAAACAAACAAUUGUCCUAUGUUCUCCUUGACACGGUUAUCUUGGAACUCUUUCCAGAGCUAAACGAGGAGGUUCAGUUAUAAUGCUUGAAAUUUCUUUAUGAGUACAAGACCUUCGAUGUUGAAAGAUCAUUCAAAAUGUGGUUGCUGAAAAUGAACAUUUAAUUAGAAUACCAGGUGGUAAUAUCUAGUUGGGAUCAUGAAGCUUUACCAGAUCAGUAUAAAAAAUAUGAACCUGUCUGUCUAUGUACAUGGAGAAUUUAUUUCAAAUAUAUAAGAAAAAAUCAUAAAAAUUAUUUCAGUACUUAAAUAUUAGUUAAAUUUAAAGUGAUUUAUAAAAAUAUUUCUAACUGCAUAUAUAAAAAGUAUAUGAGAUAUAUGUAAAGAGACAAGCUCUAUUCGUUUGUGGCAAUGCUUUAAGUAUAUGAAUUGCAAGCCUUGGGGAGACAUCUAAAAGAGUGAAAAAAUGUGCACCAACCAGGACUUGCUAGCACUUCUGCUGUGUCAGGGGUAGUGCCAGUGGUUGGGCUAGCUUGGUCAGGGCCUGGCCCAGCCAUCAGGGAGUUGCGGUAAAAUCUAUCAGCGAUCAAUUAUAAUAAUUUUCUAAACUAGAGAAAGCUGGUCCGAUCGAGAAUGCCAUUUUCGGGCAUCAGAGGUGACAAACCUAAAAUGUUUUACCUGAGCUCUAACCAUCGUGGGGCUGUGGUGGUUGCGGUCCAUUUGUUGGGGAACACUGAGCCAUCUGUUGGGGAAAAGAUGUUGCCGCCACUGGUAUGUAUGUACAGUAAAAGAUAUGCAUAGUUUAGUUAAUAGUAUACACAAUAUAUAUAAUCAGUAUUUUCUAUAUACAGUAUGUUUACUGUGUAUGUUAAUGUAGCAUAGUUUUCAGUUGUGUCUAAAUCUUUAAUGUAGAAUUUUACACAGAUACUUGAACAGCAAUUGAGACAAAUUAAUGGUGACUUAAAUAUAUGUUAUACAAACAUGCUGUUCAUAAUUAGACUAAAAUAUCAUGAGCCACAACAUGGAAGAAUCCAUGCCCACACUGUGUCAUUCCAGCAAUGGAAGAAAGUUUCGUAUAUGUUUCAAAAUAAGAUCCAGUGCAAUACUUCAGUAUGAAAAUGCAAUAGCAAAUAAAUGAAAUUGUAUUAACAAAUCUA